GAACGGCAUCCGGAACUGUCAGGCUAGAGUGCAGGAGAGGAAGGUAGAAUUCCCGGUGUAGCGGUGAAAUGCGUAGAGAUCGGGAGGAAUACCAGUGGCGAAGGCGGCCUUCUGGACUGACACUGACACUGAGGUGCGAAAGCGUGGGUAGCAAACAGGAUUAGAUACCCUGGUAGUCCACGCCGUAAACGAUGUCGACUAGCCGUUGGGCUCCUUGAGAGCCUUGUGGCGGAGUUAACGCAUUAAGUCGACCGCCUGGGGAGUACGGCCGCAAGGUUAAAACUCAAAUGAAUUGACGGGGGCCCGCACAAGCGGUGGAGCAUGUGGUUUAAUUCGAUGCAACGCGAAGAACCUUACCUAACCUUGACAUCCUGCGAAUCGGGUAGAGAUAC
rnacentral:rRNA from 1 species